CGGUCCCCCGGACUGACGGCCAGCCGACCCUGCGGACAGACGGGCCACAAAGCAUGUCGCCCUGCGCCUGCUGAACCGCGAGCGCCCGAGGAUGUCAGCGCUGAGGAAGGUCUGUAUGAGCUGUUGGCUGUUGUGCCAGGCCGGCUGGGGCCCACGUGUGGACAGCCAGGAAGACCUGACCUUCCUCUGGGAUAUGUUUGGUGAGAAAAGCCUGCAUUCACCGGUAAAGGUAAAACCAUGCUGAUGUCAGAUUCUCUUGGUGGGAAAACAUAUGGAAAAAUAUUUUGUCAUCUCAUGCUUUGUUCUGUCCUCCCCUAUUCUCUAUGCAGAAGUUACUCGUCGAGCACCAUUUUCCUUUAGGUUAGUGAUUUCUGAAUUGUAUUCAUGAAACAUUUCCUUAAUG
rnacentral:lncRNA from 1 species